GAUCGUUCCCGUCCGGAGGCUAUUGCUGUUGGCCUGAAUGUUGUGAGAGAGAUCUGCAUGCGAAUUCCAUUGAUGAUGAAUGAGGAUCUACUCCAAGACCUUGUU